GCUCGCUGCGCCUGAGAGGUGGGAUGCAGAUCUUUGUGAAGACCCUGACUGGCAAGACCAGCACCCUUGAGGUCGAGCCCAGUGAUACCACUGAGAAUGUCAACG